AACGUGUGCUGUUCCAAUUUGCUUAGUUUCCUGUCUCCUUAGAACUCAAGGAUACAGAGGUACGAGCCUAUAGAACAGAUCCUGUUCAAGUAAGGUCGUGACUAACUCUCGCAAAUAGAACCUUAUAUUUUGAUUUCAAGUUUAAUAGCUGCCCGAUGUGGGAAAUUUAAUUUCUGAAGUUUUGGUUGUUGAACUGAGAGUCUGAGACUAUCUAUCAGACUAGCGCAAAUGGAAGCAAUAAGGGUUUAAUGGAAUUCCGAAGCUGAUGGUUUGAUCAACAGUUAUUGAUUCAUCAUC